AAAGUUUAGCAAAUGGAGCUUCCUCUCAACACAUUGCCAGAAGAUUAAACAACGAAAGGAUCGAAUAAACCGAUAGAUCAACCAUGCCGUCUUGCAAACGGACCACAAGUGUUCCGUGCUUGGUAGCUGUGAUGGUCAUGGUGGUGGUUACAGUGAUGCUGUCUUGCGAUGCCUACACUUUUUGCGAUGACAUUAUUGGAAAAUGCACCAUGGUGAACUGCAAGGCUCUAUGCAUUAAACAGGGUUUCGGGAAAGAACGUAUCCAUUGCGCAACUGAAGAUAAAUGUUGUUGUGAUUAUGGCCCGAAGUCUAAGCUCAUGGUCAACAUUGUAGACCGCGAUUGAUGGUAUAUUGCAUAUGUUGACAAUAAUAAAUAAAGUACAAAAAAUGUAUUACUACCUC